GAUGAACGCUGACAGAAUGCUUAACACAUGCAAGUCUACUUGAAUUUGGGUUUUUUAACUAGGUUUUGGUGGCGGACGGGUGAGUAACGCGUAAAGAACUUGCCUCACAGCUAGGGACAACAUUUGGAAACGAAUGCUAAUACCUGAUAUUAUUAUUAUAAGGCAUCUUAGAAUUAUGAAAGCUAUAUGCGCUGUGAGAGAGCUUUGCGUCCCAUUAGCUAGUUGGAGAGGUAACGGCUCACCAAGGCGAUGAUGGGUAGCCGGCCUGAGAGGGUGAACGGCCACAAGGGGACUGAGACACGGCCCUUACUCCUACGGGAGGCAGCAGUGGGGAAUAUUGGACAAUGGACCAAGAGUCUGAUCCAGCAAUUCUGUGUGCACGAUGACGUUUUUCGGAAUGUAAAGUGCUUUCAGUUGGGAAGAAAAAAAUGACGGUACCAACAGAAGAAGUGACGGCUAAAUACGUG
rnacentral:rRNA from 1 species